rnacentral:rRNA from 1 species
CUGCCCCUACGGGGCGCAGCAGUAGGGAAUAUUGCUCAAGGGGGGAAACCCUGAAGCAGCAACGCCGCGUGGAGGAUGAAGGUUUUCGGAUUGUAAACUCCUUUUGUUAGAGAAGAUAAUGACGGUAUCUAACGAAUAAGCACCGGCCAACUCCGUGCCAGCAGCCGCGGUAAUACGGAGGGUGCAAGCGUUACUCGGAAUCACUGGGCGUAAAGAGCGCGUAGGCGGGAUAGCAAGUCAGAUGUGAAAUCCUAUGGCUUAACCAUAGAACUGCAUUUGAAACUGUUAUUCUUGUGUAUGGGCGG